UACGUAGGGUGCGAGCGUUAAUCGGAAUUACUGGGCGUAAAGCGUGCACAGGCGGUUUUGUAAGCCAGAUGUGAAAGCCCCGGGCUUAACCUGGGAAUGGCAUUUGGGACUGCAAGGCUAGAGUGUGGCAGAGGAGACUGGAAUUCCUGGUGUAGCAGUGAAAUGCGUAGAUAUCAGGAGGAAUAGCGAUGGCGAAGGCAGGUCUCUGGGUUAACACUGACGCUCAUGCACGAAAGCGUGGGGAGCAAACAGG
rnacentral:rRNA from 1 species